rnacentral:lncRNA from 1 species
GUAAAAUAAUAAAAGAAUAUCCUUUCUGUUAUAGGCACAAGGCCUGAAAUUUGGCGGGGAGGGGAUUAGUCGAUUAUAUCGACCCAGUAUUCCACUGGUACUCAAUUUAUCCACCCCGAAAGGAUUAAAGGCAGAGUAUAUAUAUAUAUAUAUAUAUAUAUUAAGGUAUGUAGAAAAAUACAACAUGGACAAGAACGUAUAACUCUUAGAAGACGACACAAUAAACACGGACAGGACAUUCGAAACCCUCAGUCUUCAGUCAAGAACCGGAUCAUCGUAGUAAUUUCGGCUGAUUAAUCUUGAGAUUACUAGAUCACGGCCAGCCCUCCAAGAAAAACCAAGCAACGAGCAUUAGAAAAACUAAGCUGGAAGCGUAGAUUUCCUGGAAGAAGGAUCUAAUGCAUACGAACACCCGGACAGCAAAAGGGACAGAUAUAAAAAAAAAAAAAAACAAAAAACAAUAAUGGAAUACAGAAACAUGAAAUACAGAAGCAUUAACGGUGAAAACAACAGUGUCUUACGACUGAUAACAAGCAAACAAAUUUUUUCUCUGGCGCAAUGGAAAAAGCCUUUAUAGUGGCGGACGAAAACAGCGAUGUUAACAAGACGAGGGUCAGGAACUGAAAGGCAGAUUUCGGCCAACAGUCACGUGACAGAGAAGAGGGAAAAGAAAAGAAAGAGAAGCAAAGGAAGAGAGAGAGAGAGGAGAGAGAGAGAGGAGGGACAAACGCAACAAAGAGAGAGAAGAGAGAGAAAGAAGGAAUCAGAGAGAAGGGAUGGGUGUCGAAGAAUGACCUGUGAGUGCAGAGCGAGACAAAGAAAUAGGAGGGUAGUGGAAGACUAGACCAAAGAAUCAGAGGAAAGAGAAGAGAAAAAGAGGAUGAGUAGAGAGAAAAGAGAGAGAGGGGGACAGAUCAAGUAAAAAUGAGAGAGAGAGAGAGACAAACAGAGAGUCGUACCAAUUAUUAAGAAUAUGUGCUCACAUAAAUGUUAAGGGGGGUACGGGGCGCCUGGAAUAUAUGUUAAGGUAUGUAGAAAAAUACAACAUGGACAAGAACGUAUAACUCUUAGAAGACGACACAAUAAACACGGACAGGACAUUCGAAACCCUCAGUCUUCAGUCAAGAACCGGAUCAUCGUAGUAAUUUCGGCUGAUUAAUCUUGAGAUUACUAGAUCACGGCCAGCCCUCCAAGAAAAACCAAGCAACGAGCAUUAGAAAAACUAAGCUGGAAGCGUAGAUUUCCUGGAAGAAGGAUCGAAUGCAUACGAACACCCGGACAGCAAAAGGGACAGAUAUAAAAAAAAAAAAAAAAAAACAAUAAUGGAAUACAGAAACAUGAAAUACAGAAGCAUUAACGGUGAAAACAACAGUGUCUUACGACUGAUAACAAGCAAACAAAUUUUUUCUCUGGCGCAAUGGAAAAAGCCUUUAUAGUGGCGGACGAAAACAGCGAUGUUAACAAGACGAGGGUCAGGAACUGAAAGGCAGAUUUCGGCCAACAGUCACGUGACAGAGAAGAGGGAAAAGAAAAGAAAGAGAAGCAAAGGAAGAGAGAGAGAGAGGAGAGAGAGAGAGGAGGGACAAACGCAACAAAGAGAGAGAAGAGAGAGAAAGAAGGAAUCAGAGAGAAGGGAUGGGUGUCGAAGAAUGACCUGUGAGUGCAGAGCGAGACAAAGAAAUAGGAGGGUAGUGGAAGACUAGACCAAAGAAUCAGAGGAAAGAGAAGAGAAAAAGAGGAUGAGUAGAGAGAAAAGAGAGAGAGGGGGACAGAUCAAGUAAAAAUGAGAGAGAGAGAGAGACAAACAGAGAGUCGUACCAAUUAUUAAGAAUAUGUGCUCACAUAAAUGUUAAGGGGGGUACGGGGCGCCUGGAAUAUAUGUUAAGGUAUGUAAUAUAUAUAUAUAUAUAUAUAGAUAUAGAUAUAUAUAUAUAUUUAUAUAUAUAUAGAUAUAUAUAUAUUCUUUUGUUUGUUUCAGUCAUUUGACUGUGGCCAUGCUGGAGCACCGCCGUUAGUCGAACAAAUAUCGACCCCAGGACUUAUUCUUUGUAAGCCUAGUACUUAUUUUAUCGAUAACUGCUAAGUUAUGGGGGUAGUAAACACACCAGCAUCGGUUGUCAAGCGAUGGUGAGGGGACAAGCACACACGCACAAACAUACACACACACACACACACACACACACACACACACACACACACACACACACACAUAUAUAUAUAUAUAUAUAUGACGGGCUUCUUUCAGUUUCCAUCUACCAAAUCUACUCACAAGGCUUCGAUCGGCUUUUGUGCCCCCAACAUCGCUUGACAACCGAUGCUGGUGUAUUUACUUCUCCGUAACUUGGCGGUUCGGCAAACGAGACCGAUAGAAUAAGUACUAGGCUUACAAAGAAUAAGCUGUUGGAUCAAUUUGCUCGACUAAAAGGUGGUGCUCCAGCAUAGCCGCAGUAAAAUGACUGAAACGAAUAAAAGAAUAAAAGAGUAUACAUUCACGUGCACGCACGUGCGUACCUCAAUUUACGUCAGUAAUUAGUUUCAAGACUUAACGCGAAAAACGGCGUAACACGAAAAAGUAUUUAAAAAAUUUAUUGCCUUAUAUCUGCCUUAAAAAAUGUUUUGUACAUAUUCUUGCGUGUAUUUGAUUUGAUUUUCCACUCCAACAAUGGUUUUUGGGUGCAUUUCAGAAAAAUUUCUUGCAUUCAUAUAUGUUCGCUAAGAUCGUGGUAAAGUGAGAUAAAUCGACUGAAGUUGAGGUUCCUUUUCCCAUUAAUUUCUUUAAAAAGCCGAAGUAAAACCGAGUAAGACGUAAGUUCAGGUAUAUCUGUAUACAUAUUGCAUCAGAUGCACUUUGAAGAUCAACAUAUUUGAUAGAAGUGUAUUUCUUAAUCUUCGAACGAAGAAACCAAGUAUUUAGUAAUGUGUACAAGGAAAACUGCUAACAUAAAAAAGAAGAAAAUCUUUGUAUUUUAUCAUGUUGUGUCAAACUGAAAUCGUUCUUGUGUGGAAAAAAUAUAAUCUGUUAUUGAGAACAGAUUGGUACUAUUUGCUGUAACAGUGAAAUUAUGCAAUCACAUGCAUCUUUCAUAAAAUAUACGGUAUCACUUUAGAGGAAGUAUGAAAAAUACAAUGGAUACGAGCCAGAUAAUAAAGAUUAUGGAAUAUAAGCGUUAUGUAACAUAAAUAUUAUGGGGUAUAAUCGUUAUGAUAUUUCAGCACUAUAGGAUGUAUGGAUUAUAAAAUAUAUGAUUCAUAAAAUUUAAGCAUUAUGAGAUAUAGUCAUAAUGCUGUAGAAUAUGAAGCAUUAUGGAAUACAAGCGUUAUAAGAUUAUAAGAUAGUGUCGUUAUGAUAUUUAAGCAUUAAAGAAUAUAAUCAUUCUGAAAUAUAAGCAUUGCGGAAUUAUAGAAUAUUAUCGUAAUGAAAUGUAAGCAUUAGGAAAUUAAAGCAUUAUUGAAUAUAAAGCGUUAUGGAGUAUAAACGUUAUGGAAUAUUACUAUGAAGGAAUGUGAAGUGGAAAAGAUUAUGAGAUAUAAAAAAUGGUUUUAGAUAAAGAAAAAAAAAGAAGAAAUAGAUUACCAGUUAGCAUUUAACGGUUUACUCUAAAUCUAAUACUAGUUUAGGAGUAGAAAUUAAAAAUAUAUAUAUAUAAAGGCUGCAAAUGGAUAAACUAGAAGAAAUGCUUGGGUAUGUAUUUUGAUAAUUGAUUGGAUUAGAGGCAGUUUAAAACUGUUGCGGAAAAAUUAACUACGCUAACUUGAAUUAAUGAAUCUUAAUAAAAUAGUUGGUUUAACAGGUGUUUGUGGGUUGCGAGUUCAGUAAUGAAAUUAAUAUGACAAGAAAAAUGAAAGAAAAAAAAAUAUUUGAUCUAGGCUGAAAGGAUUAACUUAACAUAGAAAAAAAAGUUGAAGUCAAAUAUAAUGAUAGAUGUGAGUUUAUUAAUAAAUGUUGCAUACGUUAUAAGGAUUUUAAAACUUCGAGAAAACGUGAAAUAAUUUUUUAACGAUGAAACUCGAAUUAGAUAAAACUAUAAACAAUAGCGUGUAAAGAUUGGGUUACAAAUCCUUUAAAUGCCCAUGCGGCAUCCUUCGACUUUUUUUAUAUUCAAAGCAUCAUUUAACCUAAUAUGCUUUAAUUUAUAGCGUUAUCAACUUCGGGUUCCAGUGUUAAAAACAAUGAAUUCUGUAUUGUAUAGUUUGUCUGAACCGUUAUAAACCAGUAGCGAAUUGGUAGAGUCGUUAGAAUGCUGGGACAUUUGUUCCAACUGUUUAUUGCUCUGAGUUCAAAUCCCACAGAGACCAACAUUAUCUUUCAUCUUUUCAGAGUCGAUGAAAUUGUACCAAUCGAGGGAAAUAUAUUGUCCGAAUGUUAGCUUGACGGAUGAGAGGUCUUACAGUAUUGGCUCUUUGCGUUCUAACGCUAAUAUCUGCGAUCAGUGGUACCAGGCUGUAACGGCCCUAAGGGGCGGCCUUCUCCUUGGAUAACACUGGUGGUAGGGAGAGGAAAGAAUUGCAUGCAUACUAAUGCUUUCCACUUAAAAAACACUUCGCCCUAUGCAAAGUAUUUUAUGUGUAGAAAACUAAUAGUUGCCCAUGCAACUUAGGGUUUGCCAUAAGUUUGAAGUUGCCCAUGCAACCUAGAGUUGACUAUGCAUCUACUUUUAUAUGCUUGGACAGUGUGGAGGCGCUGGCUUAGUGGUUAGUGUUUUCGGCUCAAAAUUCUAUGGUCGUGAGUUCGAUAUCUGGCGUUAUGUCCAUGAACAAGACACUUUAUUUCACGUUGCUCCAGUUCACCCAGCUGGAAAACAUCAGUUGUACCUGUAUUUCAAAGGGGUCGGGCUUAUCACAUUCUGUGUUACGCUGGAUAUCUCUGAGAACUACGUUAAGGGUACGUGUGCCUGUAGAGUACUCAGCCAAUUGCACGUUUAUAUCACGAGCAGGCAAUUCCGCUGAUCGGAUCAACUGGAACACUCGUCGUCGUAACCGACGGAGUACCAUAUGCUUGC